rnacentral:rRNA from 1 species
CCUACGGGCGGCAGCAGUGGGGAAUAUUGCACAAUGGGGGGAACCCUGAUGCAGCGACGCCGCGUGGGUGAAGGAGUAUUUCGGUAUGUAAAGCCCUAUCAGCAGGGAAGAACAAUGACGGUACCUGACUAAGAAGCACCGGCGAAAUACGUGCCAGCAGCCGCGGUAAUCCGUAUGGUGCAAGCGUUUUCCGGAUUUACUGGGUGUACAGGGAGCGCAGGCGGGGCGUUAAGCCGGGUGUGGAAGUCCGCGGGCCAACCGCGGGACUGCAUUGGGAACUGGCGCGCUGGGGUGCCUGAGGGGUAGGCGGAAUGCCUAGUGUAGCGGGGAAAUGCGUAGAUAUUAGGAGGAACACCAGUGGCGAAGGCGGCCUACUGGACGGUGACUGACGCUGAGGCUCGAAAGCGUUGGGAGCAAACAGGAUUAGAUACCCCAGUAGUCC